UUUCCACUUCAGUUUCUCCUUCAAGCAGAAGUGGCAUACGAGAGUCAUAGUUACUCCCGCCGUUUACCUGAGCUUCAUUGAAUUUCUUCACUUUGACAUUCAGAGCACUGGGAAGAAAUCACAUCACGUCAACACCCGCCGCGGGCCU